UGUAGCCGUUACGUCAUAGCUUAGUCUUGAGUGUAGUUACACUAUAGCGAUGGCUAGCUUAUGGCGUAGAAAUCCAACUCCCACGUAUGAAAUUUCCAUAAACCGACUGUUUCAACUUAUUACCAACAUUUUCAAGCAACAAUUCUCAAACUCAAUUUUCUCUAUCAUGUUCUGUAACACCCCGUAUUUUUAUACAUGUUUAGUAAUCAGUUAUAUUAUUUGAGUUUAUAAUUUUAUUUUUAAAUGUUCUUCUAUUAAAUAUAUUUUAUUUCCCACUUACUAACCUUAUCCUAGAAGGGUCAAAAGAUAAUACCUAAAUUUCCUAGGUUAACUACCCAAUUAUACAUUAUGUCACUAUUAUAAAAGAGGGAUGAAAAGAAAAGAAAAAAAAAAACAACAAAAAAAAAACAAAAGAAAUGGAGGAAAAAGGGUCAGGUUUCCUGUAGCCCCCUCCCUUCCCUUUCAUUCAUUAUUUCUUCCAUUAAAUUUCCUACCUUCUUUUCUUGUAUUCUUUUUUUCCAACACACCAUUAGAUUUUCAGAUUUGUUAUCACUCAUUAUCACACAUCAAUAUUUAGUCAUCCAUCUUCAACAUUUUUAGUUUUUGUUGGUAUCUCGAAAUUGGGUCAAAUCAAGAGAUUUUCAGGUCCUUCAUUGAGUAAUAUUACUCUACUAAAUUCCCUAAUCAAGUUGCACGAGGAUGACUUAUGGAUGCUGGCUUUGGUAAUGAUGGAGAGGAGAAGAACUCUUAAUCCAAGACUCAAUAGAGCAGGAAAUAAAAGUGUUAGGGGAUGACCUAUCCGACUCAAACUAGGAAACUAGCGAGAAGUAUUAAGUCCAUGCAGUAGUUAUGCAUUGGCCAAGGCGGUUGUUGUUGUUGCUGACUUUUAUUGCAGGCGUAACUAGCAGUCUACCAUGUUCAUCAAUAUAUUAUAGGAUGUGCUUCAAAGUCCAGCACUUCAAUGUUAGAUGUUCAUUCCCUUGGUGAUACUUGUGUAGACACACUAAGGACAAUGCUUUAUUCUAGCUUGGGAGAGUAGCUUUUUGCUAGCUUGGGGGAGGAUCAACCUUAGAGGUCUCCAAACCACACACCAAGCAUAAAGUGGAGCAUCUUUUUUUUCCAAAAUAAGAGCUUUUGGAAAGAUUUGUGCACAAGGAUCAUAAUAGAACGGUCAUAACUUUCAUCACAAAUAACAUUUUUCAAGGAUUCUAGUUGGAGAUGAAAGUUUAGCUUGACAUCUAUUCAACGAAUGGUCACAAUUCUGAUUUUGAUGAAAAAUGAAAGAGAUAUGGCUCUUUGAAGUCAUGCAUGUCUGCUGGCCCACUCGAUCUGUGCCCAAACCUCUAGGGCUCCUAAGCCCACCCGAGCAACUGUCCAGCCCGGCCUGGCUGUUUGGCGGUGAAAGCUCCUGCCACUUUAGUUUAAAUAUAACCCACGUCUGGUACUCACACAUGAGCCCAUGCACCCUGCCCCGCCCGGGACUUGGGCCAGCUCGCCCGGGCUGCUAUCAUGCAUGGGUUUUGUCGUCCCAUUUUUUAUCUAAAAAGUUUUUAUUGUGACCCUAGUAGUUUUAUGCACCCUUGAGAGAGGGGUUGGAACUAGUUAAGAGUCAAUAAGUUCAAUUAGUUGCGUGGUUCUUUCCUUAAUGUUUCACCUUUUUAAUUGCUUAAAUCAUGAUUUGGUUGGUGUUGGAUACCUUUUCUAAUCCUA